UGGGGAAUAUUGCACAAUGGGCGCAAGCCUGAUGCAGCCAUGCCGCGUGUAUGACGAAGGCCUUCGGGUUGUAAAGUACUUUCAGCGGGGAGGAAGGGAGUAAAGUUAAUACCUUUGCUCAUUGACGUUACCCGCAGAAGAAGCACCGGCUAACUCCGUGCCAGCAGCCGCGGUAAUACGGAGGGUGCAAGCGUUAAUCGGAAUUACUGGGCGUAAAGCGAACGCAGGCGGUUUGUUAAGUCAGAUGUGAAAUCCCCGGGCUCAACCUGGGAACUGCAUCUGAUACUGGCAAGCUUGAGUCUCGUAGAGGGGGGUAGAAUUCCAGGUGUAGCGGUGAAAUGCGUAGAGAUCUGGAGGAAUACCGGUGGCGAAGGCGGCCCCCUGGACGAAGACUGACGCUCAGGUGCGAAAGCGUGGGGAGCAAACAGG
rnacentral:rRNA from 1 species